rnacentral:rRNA from 1 species
UGCGUAGGUGGUUUCGUGUGUCGGAUGUGAAAUCCCACUGCUCAACGGUGGAACUGCAUUCGAAACUGCGGAACUAGAGUACAGUAGGGGAGAGCGGAAUUCUUGGUGUAGCGGUGAAAUGCGUUGAUAUCAAGAAGAACACCGGUGGCGAAGGCGGCUCUCUGGAAUGUUACUGACACUGAGGCACAAAAGCUGGGGGAGCAAACAGGAUUAGAUACCCUGGUAGUCC